UGGGGAAAUGUUCUCCAGCAGAGGAAAGGCAAGAGCUGUCCUUUCGCCCACUGGCAGAGUGGGAAUCCCAAGAGGGAGGCAUUUCAUGGAGUCCAGCCUCUGCCUGAAGCCCGCCUGGUGCUUCCUUACCAGUCGUGAUGCCAGACUGCUGAGCGUUUCCCUGCAGAAUGGCUGCUCCCGCAGGCUAGAGACUGAGGCAGCCUGGGCAGGAAGGUGACCUCCGUUUUCCGAGUCUGUGCAAGGUGUUUGCCCAAGAGAAAGCGCCCAGGAUGACCUGCGCCAGCAUUCACAGCAGCCUCGUCCCAAGCAGGCAGAACCGGGAGCAGGCCAGGUGGCCUCAAGUGGGGAAACGGCUUAGCCAACAGCGGCAGACAUUCCCAGUGGGGCCGCACGGCUGUGCGGAGCGCGACCGACUGGGAGAGCAGCCCUUGAGUGGAUCAGGCAAAGCACAGAACUGCACACAGAGGGUGACAGAAUUGUCAUGGAUAAGGCAACACCUGUCUCCAGUGAUAGAUCAGCGGUCGCCUGGGGCUCGAGGAGGUGGGGAUCAAUGGGGAAGGCACAAGGGAACUUUCUGGGGUAGUGAUGGAAUGUUCUUGAACUUGAUCUGGGUGAUGGUUAUACACAGGCGUCUAAACCCACUCUACUUCCCACUUAAGACCUGUAUAUUUUAAUGCAUAUUAAUUAUACCUCAAUAAAAGAUAUCUUUAAGACGGGGUGUGCAA